UACGUAGGGGGCAAGCGUUGUUCGGAAUUAUUGGGCGUAAAGGGCGCGUAGGCGGUCUUGUAAGUCAGCUGUGAAAGCCCGGGGCUCAACCCCGGAGGGUCGGCUGAUACUGGAUGGCUUGAGUUCGGGAGAGGGAUGCGGAAUUCCAGGUGUAGCGGUGAAAUGCGUAGAUAUCUGGAGGAACACCGGUGGCGAAGGCGGCAUCCUGGACCGACACUGACGCUGAGGAGCGAAAGCCAGGGGAGCAAACGGG
rnacentral:rRNA from 1 species